rnacentral:tRNA from 1 species
GGUCCCUUCGUCUAACGGUUAGGACACCAGGUUUUCAUCCUGGUAACAGGGGUUCGACUCCCCUAGGGACUACAA